UACGUAGGGUGCAAGCGUUGUCCGGAAUUAUUGGGCGUAAAGAGCUCGUAGGCGGCUUGUCACGUCGAUUGUGAAAGCCCGAGGCUUAACCUCGGGUCUGCAGUCGAUACGGGCUAGCUAGAGUGUGGUAGGGGAGAUCGGAAUUCCUGGUGUAGCGGUGAAAUGCGCAGAUAUCAGGAGGAACACCGGUGGCGAAGGCGGAUCUCUGGGCCAUUACUGACGCUGAGGAGCGAAAGCGUGGGGAGCGAACAGG
rnacentral:rRNA from 1 species